rnacentral:lncRNA from 1 species
ACGAUUUCCAUCAUUUCAAAUUUAAGAUUUGAUUUUCUCUUUCUUCCAUAUUCCUCAGACCUUCUUUCAUUUUCCUCCAUCCUCCUCAAACAUCCUCCUUUCACUUUUCCUAUUUAUUUUUUCCUCUCAACUAAAAAAUAAAGCUAUAGAGUUCAACUACAACAAUAAUGUAGAGGAAUGAGGCAACAAUGUAGAAGGUGUCCUCGGGUUAGAAAAGAAGGAAAAAAAAUAUCGUCAGAUCUAUCCGAGAAAUGGUGAUCGGAGUUACAACACCCACCAUUCUUUGCGCUCAGAGAAGAAAAAAAAAAAUUUUUUUUAUAUCGGAUUAUACACAUAGAAGUAAGUUUGUGCAUGACUGAAUCUAUUUCUCUCUUUUAUUCUUAAUUUUUGGUUGAUUUUUCCUCUGAAUUUUGUUUACGUUAACCAUAAUGGAGUGAAAGAAAUGAAAUGGUAAAAGACAAUAAAAUAGCACUUUCUUUUCAAAUAAUAUUAAAAUACAUAAUUUAGAUAUGUUACACAUAAUAUUAAAAUACAUUGUUUAAACAAAUUUAGAUUUUGAUAAUGGAUUCUUAAAGAACAACAAAUCUUUAUUGUUAUCCAGAUUUUUUUGUAUACCCUUAUGUACAUUCUUUUCAAGUUCAAUGAAUCGCAUUCAUCAAAUCUUUGAUGUUAUUUGUUUCAAGUAUGAGAAAUUUUUAUGCAUUUGCAAUCUAUCUCAUAGAUGUGUUUGAAGAUUUUAUUAUAUUGAACAAAUAUUUUCAUGACAAACGUUUUCACAAGAAAGAGAACAAGAUAUAUGUGCUUGCAAUUUACAUCAUAUUUAUGACUAAAUUUUUCAAUAUUGUCAACCGAGAAAAAUAAUAAAUUAUGGAGUAUUUUCUCUGAUUGACAAUAUAGGAA